rnacentral:rRNA from 1 species
CCUACGGGUGGCAGCAGUGGGGAAUAUUGGGCAAUGGAGGAAACUCUGACCCAGCAACGCCGCGUGAAUGAUGAAGGUCUUCGGAUUGUAAAGUUCUUUUCUAAGGGACGAAGAAAGUGACGGUACCUUAGGAAUAAGCCUCGGCUAACUACGUGCCAGCAGCCGCGGUAAUACGGAGGAUGCGAGCGUUAUCCGGAUUUAUUGGGUUUAAAGGGUGCGUAGGCGGAAUAUCAAGUCAGCGGUAAAAAUGCGCGGCUCAACCCCGUCGUGCCGUUGAAACUGAUGUUCUUGAGUGGGCGAGAAGUAUGCGGAAUGCGUGGUGUAGCGGUGAAAUGCAUAGAUAUCACGCAGAACUCCGAUUGCGAAGGCAGCAUACCGGCGCCCAACUGACGCUGAAGCACGAAAGCGUGGGUAUCGAACAGGAUUAGAUACCCGGGUAGUC